rnacentral:rRNA from 1 species
ACGCUUUCGGGUGCCGCCUCCGGUGCAAGUCCCCCUGACCGGGGCUCCCACCCCGAGAGGGUGCAAGGCCCGUAGCGGCCGGAAGGCGGUCCCGGAUGUCCUCUCCCGGGAGUCGGGUUGCUUGAGAGUGCAGCCCCAAUCAGGUGGUAAACUCCAUCUAAGGCUAAAUACGACCUGGAGACCGAUAGCGAACAAGUACCGUGAGGGAAAGUUGAAAAGGACUUUGAAGAGAGAGUUCAAGAGUACGUGAAACCGUUCGGAGGUAAACGAGUGGGCCCUCGAAGUGUGAAGGCGGGGGGACUCAGCCGAACGCCGUCGAGCCCGCGGGCGGGUCCGCGCUUCCCUCCCGGGACGCGGUCCGCCCGUGUGCUGGCUCCGGUUUGCGGCGCAUUUCCUCCCGUCCUCCGACGCCGCGACCGGUCGGGCGCGCCACGAGCAGUCGGCCUUACUCGCGGGAAACGGAAGGUAGCCGGGUCGGCGCGCACGCGCCGCCCCCCGGUGUUCUAGCCGUCCCGCAAUCGAGUCAGCCGUUCGCCCGACCGCAGGACCCAAGGCCCUCAGG